AAAAACCACUGUCGCCUACCACAUGCAUGGUUCUCUGCGCUUUUUGUUAUCUAGGUCAAGUCCAUGUUUAGAAGAAACCAGAAUCGCAUUAAGGAGGAAGAAUAUGCAAUCGUGAACCGUGAACGUUUUAAUACACGUAACUGAACCAGCUUAGUGGAAGCGAUGAUAUCGGAAGAGAGCCAUACAAACGAUAACAAGCCUGAAGCUUCCGAUGGAAGAAUUACUCAAGGAGGCCUGGGAAACUCAAGGGUGAACGAAGUCGUCUCCAGGCAGCUGCGGUUCCCUCCAUCUUCCCACAUCCAUCAUGCACCGGUACAUCAGCACUACCAACUCGACCAAAGAGGGCACAUCAACUCCGUGAAGAAUAGCAGACAUAGCUUUAUUGAAUGUGUUGUCGGAGGUGGAAAUCGGUAUUGGAGAGGAUUGUGCUAUCACAAGCCCAAGUAGCUUGAAUGAGCCUUUUGAAACAUGUGAAAGUAACUCUCAGUCUACUCAGUGCAGUUUGUUAGGAAGUUGUUCCAUAGAAACCUACAUCAAUAAUCCCAAAGCUGUUUUGUACUUUGCUGGUUUCCAAGAUUAUGACGAUUUCAUGUUUUUCUUUCACUCGCUUGGUCCAGCAGUUUUUGAACUGAACUAUCAAUGUGAACUCUUGCACCCAAAAGACCAAUUGUUUUUACCGUAUACAACGUAAUAAGCGCCCCGCUCUAAUAAGCGCCCACGGCGGUAUUUGCUAAUAUAUUGGCUAGUGAACAAUACCAAUUAGCACCCCUCACGAUUGAUCAAUGUUCAAGA